CCUACGGGUGGCAGCAGUCGAGAAUCAUUCACAAUGGGGGAAACCCUGAUGGUGCGACGCCGCGUGGGGGAAUGAAGGUCUUCGGAUUGUAAACCCCUGUCAUGUGGGAGCAAAUUAAAAAGAUAGUACCACAAGAGGAAGAGACGGUUAACUCUGUGCCAGCAGCCGCGGUAAUACAGAGGUCUCAAGCGUUGUUCGGAAUCACUGGGCGUAAGGCGUGCGUAGGCUGUUUCGUAAGUCGUGUGUGAAAGGCGCGGGCUCAACCCGCGGACGGCACAUGAUACUGGGCGACUAGAGUAAUGGAGGGGGAACCGGAAUGCUCGGUGUAGCAGUGAAAUGCGUAGAUAUCGAGAGGAACACUCGUGGCGAAGGCGGGUUCCUGGACAUUAACUGACGCUGAGGCACGAAGGCCAGGGGAGCGAAAGGGAUUAGAUACCCGAGUAGUC
rnacentral:rRNA from 1 species